AUGAACGCUGGCGGCGUGCCUAAUACAUGCAAGUCGAGCGAACAGAUGAGGAGCUUGCUCCUCUGACGUUAGCGGCGGACGGGUGAGUAACACGUGGAUAACCUACCUAUAAGGCUGGGAUAACUUCGGGAAACCGGAACUAAUACCGGAUAAUAUAUUUAACCGCAUGGUUCCAUAGUGAAAGACGGUUUUGCUGUCACUUAUAGAUGGAUCCGCGCCGCAUUAGCUAGUUGGUAAGGUAACGGCUUACCAAGGCAACGAUGCGUAGCCGACCUGAGAGGGUGAUCGGCCACACUGGAACUGAGACACGGUCCAGACUCCUACGGGAGGCAGCAGUAGGGAAUCUUCCGCAAUGGGCGAAAGCCUGACGGAGCAACGCCGCGUGAGUGAUGAAGGUCUUCGGAUCGUAAAACUCUGUUAUUAGGGAAGAACAAAUGUGUAAGUAACUAUGCACGUCUUGACGGUACCUAAUCAGAAAGCCACGGCUAACUACGUG
rnacentral:rRNA from 1 species